AUGAGUUCGGGGGCCUAGCCCCCAGCGGCGGGUGUCGUUCAAGUCCUUUGGGGCUCGACCGGCGGUCGUCGUGUUUCUCAACCCCAUGUUUACCAUACCUUUGUUGCUUUGGCGGGCCUUGAGUAGGCUAUACGGCUCAUGCCGGCCCUAGACUUUAUUGCCUGGGGGCGGCUCGCGCCCGCCAGAGGUUUAACCAAAUUCUAUUAUCAGUGAUGUCUGAGCAAAUAUUCAAUAAUCAAAACUUUCAACAACGGAUCUCUUGGUUCUGGCAUCGAUGAAGAACGCAGCGAAAUGCGAUAAGUAAUGUGAAUUGCAGAAUUCAGUGAAUCAUCGAAUCUUUGAACGCACAUUGCGCCCCUCGGUAUUCCGGGGGGCAUGCCUGUUCGAGCGUCAUUACACCCCUCAAGCGUAGCUUGGUAUUGGACUUUCGCGGGCCUUCUUAUAGGGUGGAGCUCGCGGGUCCGAAAAGCAGUGGCGGUUCCCGAGGAUUUCGCGCGUAGUAAAUAUUAUCCCGCGUUGGAAAGAAUCGGUGGGCUUGCCAAAACCCCCCACAAUCUCCAUGAUUGACCUCGGAUCAGGUAGGGAUACCCGCUGAACUUAAGCAUAUCAAUA
rnacentral:rRNA from 1 species